UGCCGUGUCGUAGCGAGCGCAGAGAGCCAGAGCUGCUGCUCGCAGACGGCAUUCCACUGCUUCAGCCAAGCCGGAGACGUCAGAGACACCGGAGAUGGCGGGGAACCUGCACCUCCCCGUGGUGGACCUGGCGUCGCCGGACCUCCGCGCCGCCGCCGAAUCCGUCCGACAGGCGUGCGUGGAGCACGGGUUCUUCUACGUGACCAACCACGGAGUGGACCGCGGCCUGCUCCAGGCGGUGUUCGCGCAGAGCAAGGGCUUCUUCGACCUGCCCAUGGAGGAGAAGAUGGCGCUGCUGAGGAGCGCCAACCACCGCGGGUACACGCCGCCCUACGCCGAGAAGCUCGACGCCUCUUCCCAGUUCGUAGGAGACCUCAAGGAGAGUUUCUACAUUGGGCCUAUUGAUGAUGGCGAUAUGCAUAAUGAUGUAAACCAAUGGCCUUCUGAAGAGCGCUUGCCAUCUUGGAAGGAGACAAUGAAGCUAUACAUUGCAGCUAUUCUGGAUACUGGCACAAGGAUACUCUCUCUAAUUGCUUUGGGUUUGGAUUUGGAUGCUGAUUUCUUUCAUAAAGUUGGUGCAUUGAACUGCCCAUCAACAUUUCUUCGGUUAUUGCAUUACCCAGGUGAAGUAAAUGAGUCUGAUAGUGGAAACUAUGGUGCAUCAGCUCACUCGGACUAUGGUGUGAUAACCCUUUUAGUGACAGAUGGCACUCCUGGCCUGCAGAUAUGCAGGGAGAAGGAUAGGAAUCCCCAGCUAUGGGAAGAUGUUCAUCACAUUGAUGGGGCCCUUAUUAUUAAUAUUGGUGAUUUGCUAGAGAGGUGGACAAAUUGUGUUUUCAGAUAAAAUGCUCCUCUUGAAUCAUGACAAAGAUCUACGUUGCAUCGUGUUGUUGCAGUCGGUAAAGAGCGGUAUUCGGUGGCUUUCUUUCUUGACCCAAAUCCUGACACACUAGUGCAGUGUUUGGAAAGUUGUUGCAGUGAAGCAUGUCCACCAAGGUUUCCACCUAUCAAGAGUAGCGACUACAUAUUCGGGCGAAUAAAUUCAACAUACAAAUAAUCAUCCGUCACAUUUGUAAUACUGUAUAUGCUCCUUUAUAACAGCUUGAUAUACCAUAGUAAUGUUUGAACCCAGGAUUUAAAGUUAUUUUUCAAUAAGGCGCAACGAAUAAAAAGGGUGCUAUGUAUGUGAACUGGACCUCCA